rnacentral:rRNA from 1 species
CUACAUGGUCUUGGGUACAAGCCUAGCUAAGGUGAAACCGCGAAUGGCUCAUUAAAUCACACUUAAUCUACUGGAAUGUUAGCAGUUACUUGGAUAACUGCGGUAAUUCUGGAGCUAAUACAUGCGAAAAAUCUCGACUCACGAAGAGAUGCUUUUAUUAGAUCAAAACCAAACAGCCUCUGGCUGUAAUACUGGUGACUCUGAAUAACUUCGGGCUGAUCGCAUCGCCUUGUGCGGGCGACGUUUCCUUCGAAAGUGUGCCCUAUCAACUGUCGACUGUGAUAUAGACGCUCACAGUGGUUUUGACGGGUAACGGGGAAUCAGGGUUCGAUUCCAGAGAGGGAGCCUUAAAAACGGCUACCACAUCUAAGGAAGGCAGCAGGCACGCAAAUUACCCAAUCAUCGAAGAUGGAGGUAGUGACGAAAAAUAACAAUACAAGACUCAUCCGAGGCCUUGUAAUUGGAAUGAGUAUACUUUAAAACCGUUCCCGAGGAUCUAUUGGAGGGCAAGUCUGGUGCCAGCAGCCGCGGUAAUUCCAGCUCCAAUAGCGUAUCUUAAAGUUGUUGUGGUUAAAAAGCUCGUAGUUGGAUUUCGGCAGGCACAGGUUGGUUUGAAUCGCUUCAACACUGACUUUUUUGCCUGUGUGUUUUGCCAGAGUUUGACAGGUGAUCUUAAUCGAUUGUCCGUUGGAGCUGGCAGGUUUACUUUGAAAAAAUUAGAGUGC